UGCUCUCAGCCGUCCUGACGCGAGGCCACGUGGACUGGUCGGUCUCACUGGACUGAGUGGGCAGCGUGGACGAUGAGCUGGGGUCUGGGCUCCGGGCAGGAGUCACCACGUGGGGGAGUGGGGGAGGACUGAUCUGGGCUCUGCUAUGAAUGGGGCCUGGAGUCGGGCUCCCUGGAGCCUCCGCAGGUCAGGACACGAGUCAGACACCUCUGCUCCCCAAGAACCCCCCGUUCCUGCCACUCAGGGCUGCGGGCAGGGUGUCCUGGCCAAAGCCUCCGUCCAGGCCCCCCUCGUCUUCCCCUUGGCCACCUGCUGCAAAGGCACCAUCGCCACCGCCCCGUCCGUGACACUGGGCUGCCUGGUCACGGGCUACUUCCCGAUGCCGGUGACUGUGACCUGGGAUGCAGGGUCCCUGAACAAGAGCGUCGUGACCCUCCCCACCACCCUCCAGGAGACCUCUGGCCUCUACACCACCACCAGCCACGUGACCGUCUCGGGCGAGUGGGCCAAACAGAAGUUCACCUGCAGCGUGGCUCACGCGGAGUCCCCCACCAUCAACAAGACCGUCAGUGCGUGUGCCAUGAACUUCACUCCCCCCACCGUGAAGCUCUUCCACUCCUCGUGUAACCCCCUCGGUGACACCAGUAGCACCAUCCAGCUCCUGUGCCUCAUCUCCGGCUACGUCCCAGGUGACCUCCAUGUCAUGGAGGGUGACAUGGAUGGGCAGAAGGCCUCGAACAUAUUCCCAUACGCUGCCCCCGGCAAGCAGGAGGGCAAGGUGACCUCCACCCACAGAGAGCUCAACAUCACGCAGGGCAAUCGGGUGCUUUUGCUUUUCUGUACAGCACAAUGAAUUCUUUUAAUAAAUAUUG